GGAGGGAUCAUUACAGAGUUGCAAAACUCCCUAAACCAUUGUGAACGUUACCUAAACCGUUGCUUCGGCGGGCGGCCCGGGUCCUUCCCGGCGCCCCUCGGCCCUCGCGGGCGCCCGCCGGAGGUAAACCAAACUAUUGCAUUGUAUGGCCUCUCUGAGUCUUCUGUACUGAAUAAGUCAAAACUUUCAACAACGGAUCUCUUGGUUCUGGCAUCGAUGAAGAACGCAGCGAAAUGCGAUAAGUAAUGUGAAUUGCAGAAUUCAGUGAAUCAUCGAAUCUUUGAACGCACAUUGCGCCCGCCAGUAUUCUGGCGGGCAUGCCUGUUCGAGCGUCAUUUCAACCAUCAAGCCCCGGGCUUGUGUUGGGGACCUGCGGCUGCCGCAGGCCCUGAAAUGCAGUGGCGGGCUCGCUGUCACUCCGAGCGUAGUAGUUACAUCUCGCUCUGGGCGUGCUGCGGGUUCCGGCCGUUAAAAAGCCUUAUUUACCCAAGGUGACCUCGGAUC
rnacentral:misc_RNA from 1 species